rnacentral:rRNA from 1 species
UCGGGAAUUUUGGGCAAUGGGUGAAAGCCUGACCCAGCAACGCCGCGUGAGGGAUGAAGUAUUUCGGUAUGUAAACCUCGAAAGAAUGGGAAGAAUAAAUGACGGUACCAUUUAUAAGCUCCGGCUAACUACGUGCCAGCAGCCGCGGUAAUACGUAGGGAGCAAGCGUUGUUCGGAUUUACUGGGCGUAAAGGGCGCGUAGGCGGCGCGGUAAGUCACUUGUGAAAUCUCUGAGCUUAACUCAGAACGGCCAAGUGAUACUGCUGUGCUAGAGUGCGGAAGAGGCAACCGGAAUUCUUGGUGUAGCGGUGAAAUGCGUAGAUAUCAAGAGGAACACCUGAGGCGAAGGCGGGUUGCUGGGCCGACACUGACGCUGAUGCGCGAAAGCCAGGGGAGCAAACG